rnacentral:rRNA from 2 species
UACAGAGGGUGCAAGCGUUAAUCGGAAUUACUGGGCGUAAAGCGCGCGUAGGCGGUUACGUAAGUUGGGUGUGAAAUCCCCGGGCUCAACCUGGGAAUUGCACUCAAAACUGCGUGGCUAGAGUGUGGGAGAGGAAGGUAGAAUUCCAGGUGUAGCGGUGAAAUGCGUAGAUAUCUGGAGGAAUACCGAUGGCGAAGGCAGCCUUCUGGCCUAACACUGACGCUGAGGUGCGAAAGCAUGGGGAGCAAACAGG